rnacentral:snoRNA from 1 species
AUCCCAUGAUGAGGACAGGUGGCCACAUAUUCUUGAAGUCGUUCCCACGCCUCAGGAAUAGACUCAUCCCUCGUCUGCUGGAAACUCCAAAAAUUCGUCCACGAAGGGC